GACGAACGCUGGCGGCGCGCCUAACACAUGCAAGUCGAACGGAGCUGAGAGAAGCUUGCUUUUCUUAGCUUAGUGGCGAACGGGUGAGUAACGCGUGAGUAACCUGCCCUGGAGUGGGGGACAACAGUUGGAAACGACUGCUAAUACCGCAUAAGCCCACGAUCCGGCAUCGGAUUGAGGGAAAAGGAUUUAUUCGCUUCAGGAUGGACUCGCGUCCAAUUAGCUAGUUGGUGAGGUAACGGCCCACCAAGGCGACGAUUGGUAGCCGGACUGAGAGGUUGAACGGCCACAUUGGGACGGAGACACGGCGCAGACUCCUACGGGAGGCAGCAGUGGGGGAUAUUGCACAAUGGGGGAAACCCUGAUGCAGCGAGGCCGCGGGGAGGAAGAAGGUUAUCGGAUGGUAAACUCCUGUCGUUAGAGACGAUAAUGACGGUACAAAACAAGAAAGUACAGGCUAACUACGU
rnacentral:rRNA from 1 species